rnacentral:ncRNA from 1 species
ACCCCGGUGAGUAUGCCCUACCCCACCCUUACUGGAAGGAAGGAGCUGGUAUCAGGCCCAAACACAACGGCCCACGACACCUUGCCUAGCCACACCCUCAAGGGGCCCCAGCAGUAAUAAACAUUAAGCCAUAAGUGAAAACUUGACUUAGUUAAGACUAUUAGGGCUGGUUAAACUCGUGCCAGCUACCGCGGUUAGACGAGUAGCCCAAGUUGAUAUUUACAUCGGCGUAAAGAGUGGUUAAUAAUACCCCCCCACUAAAGCAAAACACUUUCAAAGCUGUCCUACGCACCCGAAAGUGGGAACCCCCCUCACGAAAGUAGCUUUACCCUUUAUGACCCCACGAAAUCUAAGACACAAACUGGGAUUAGAUACCCCACUAUGCUUAGCCUCAAACAAAAGCAGCCUUUUUACACCUCCUGCUCGCCAGGGAACUACAAGCCCCCAGCUUAAAACCCAAAGGACUUGACGGUGCUUUAGUCCCACCUAGAGGAGCCUGUUCUAUAACCGAUAACCCCCGUUUAACCUCACCCUCUUUUGCCAUUUCCGCCUAUAUACCGCCGUCGUCAGCUUACUCUGUGAAGACACAACAAUAAGCAAAAUUGGCACAGCCCAAAACGUCAGGUCGAGGUGUAGUAUACAAGAGGGCAAGAAUGGGCUACACUCACUGCCCCAGUGAACACGGAUAAUGCUUUGAAACAAGCAUUUGAAGGCGGAUUUAACAGUAAGAGGGAACAAGCAUGUCCCACUGAAACUGGCCCUGAAGCACGCACACACCGCCCGUCACUCUCCCCCAAGCGGGCCCCCAAAAUAAUACAUAACAAGUAAAUCGCCGCUAAGAGGAGGCAAGUCGUAACAUGGUAAGUGUACCGGAAGGUGCACUUGGAAGAAC